CAUGAACAACGCAGGGGUGAGAACAGGAGGAAGGUUCCUUCUGUGUUUCCACAUGAACAACGCAGGGCAUUUCAGGUGUCUGUUUUAAUGAGCGAUGGAGAACAGGGGAGAAGGGGGAGGAGGGCCUCAGCAUCCCAUAAACACAGGUUGCCACGGCGGCGGCUGUCUGGUGUCAGACACUUCAAAGCAAGGCUGUGCCAGGUGUAUUUACAAACACAACAGUAUUUACUUUGUGUGAGCGCUGCCUUAUGUGCCAUGUUCUGACUGAUCCCUGGUUCUGAAUAUCAUAUGCCGGGACGGAACGUCCUGUCUGGUAAGCAUUUCAAACAGUGUUCAUAUUGUAUUGUUUGUCCAUAACUUAAG